rnacentral:lncRNA from 1 species
GCCGACGGCCCCACCCGCAGCGCCACUCACUCCGCACGUCCCUUGCGCGCCGCCGCGUCACGCAGCUCUCCGCGCAGGCGCGCGGUGCGCUCCCCGCCGAGGCUCCCCUCGACGCCUGGGCCGCCGCGCAACCGCACUGGAGCGGCUUCUCCCGCUGCCGUCUUCGCGCAGGUGCGUCGCCCUCUCUCCACGUCCACGGCGCCGAGUCUCGCCACGGUGGCGCAGGCGCCAGGGAGGUUCCCCGGCUUUGCCGCGCGGAGGAAGUCCCGGUUACGCAGAGCGCGCUGGGGCAGGGCUGACCUUCCCCUUUCUCUACUUCACUGGCCUCCUCCAGACGUGGUGGUUGCGCCCUUUCGGCCUCGCUUUCCGUUUUUUGGCUUCAUCCCCUAGAUCUGCAAACAGUUCCUCGUGUUUCUUCCGUUAGCCGGGAAACGCGAACUGCAGCGUUUGGGACCCGGGUUUGCGCGUGUGGAAAGCAAAAGGGGUUACUCUGCUGGAGUUCGACAUUGCAAAUAAAGGUCUUUAUCCCCGGCGGUUCUACAAAAUUAGUUCUGCAGGGAUUCUGGUUGAAAGAAGCGUUAAAGUGGGCCUUGUAGGAGUCAGCAAUAAUCCAAUUUUACAUGGGUGCAGGUGGCUGCCUGUGUCUAGCGCUUUCACACAUCUCAUAUCUUCAUCCACGCCGUGGGUAUUUUUUUUCCACGGUGUGUUUCUGUUGCUGCCUCCAGUAUAUUGCUUAAUCAUCCUACCUGGUAAUUAUUUAUGCAUUUUUCUCCUACUCUCGACUCAGCUCCUAGGGAAUAAAAACACAUUAACUUAUCUUUGUGCCCACAGCACCCACCAAGUAUUUCCAUCACGUAAUACUGCCUCUAGAAAGGCAGGAGGAGAAGCAGUCACGCUAAGGAUCUAGGCAAGCCAGAUCUUUUGUCCGGUUUUAGGAGGUGGCCAGCCCUUACUUAUUCCACAAGUGUUUUUCCAGAAACUCAGACUUGAUAUUGCCUCAAGUCCAAGGCAGUGUGCUUCCCCCACUCACAUAUCACUAAUAGUAGCUAACAUUUGUUCAGAUCCCUGUAUGUACUCUGCCACUGUUUUAAAUGUUACACCCGGGUUACCUCAUUUAAUCCUUACAACUGCCCUGUGAGGUAGGUACUAUUAUUAUCUCUACUUUGUAGAUGGGAUUCACCGAGGCACAGACGGUUAAAAAACCUAGCCCAAAUAACACAAAUAAACAGCAGAGCAUGCAGUGCUAGAGUCUGCAUUCUUAACAAUUGCUAUAUUCUCCCUCUCCGUGAAUGUGGGCUGAGAUGCUGAAACAGGCAUGUGCUGUGGGGGAGAAAAAGCUUUGUCCAACCAAGUGCUUUCUAAUGUCCAGAUGACAUAGAGCUAGGAUUUCCUAAUGUCUUUUUUCCCCUAUUUUUCUCUCCAUUUCAGGGUUGAGUUUGUGCAUCGAUUGUGAACACAACAGGCAGCAGGCUAUAAUGGUGGUCCUGGCUGGAGUAGUUUUCACAGACUUCAGUAAUCUGUGGAGAUGAACGGGCAGUUCUCUGUAGUUUUCACAGAUCACUGCCAGUUCGUUUUGAGGCCUUCAGGAGUGAAGACCUGGCUCAUCAUCACUCUUUGUUGUUUUGUUAAAUUUAUUUACACCCUACUUUAUUCCAGAGGAAAGGAUUUAACGUAGUUUACAUAAAUGUGUACAUCAGGGUAAAUUAAAAAUAAGUACAGAGAAAAAUAGGACAAAAGAAAACCGUGAGUGUGAAAGAUAAGAUUAAGCCAGCAGUUUUGUAUGCAAAAUGCAUGGUGUAAGGUCCUAUUGGUUUGCUGGAGGUAGGCCACACAUAUGACUCUCAGUUUUCUAGCAACCAAGAAAAAGAUCAGUUGCAAUCGGAGUAGGUGUUUUGGCUAAGCUGGAACUAGGACUUGAAUAUAGCAGCUUGUAGAGUUAUACCACUUGCCCAAAUCUCUUCCAUGAGCCUCUUUAAGUGUAACAGAAUGCCUGGGAGCACGUAAAUGCUCCUACUUAGAUGCCUACUUAGCCUCUAAUUUUCAUGGGGCCCAUGAAUCCCAUGAAAAAGAACUUUGAACCCUGUCCACAAUUAGAGUUCAGGUAUACGCAGACAUGUUUAAAGACAAGGGACACCCAAAGGAAAGAUUGCACAGAGAGAAAGUGAGCAUCCGAGAGAAAAUCACCACAAGUGAGGCAGAGGGAGGCCGGUCUCAGCAGAGUUUUGGAGGUCGUGAGAAGAAGAGGUAGGAGAUAGGAGAGUGGUUCCGAGUACUUGCCUGCUGAUGUUACCUUCUCCACCCCCACCAGGUUUUCCAGUGCCUGGAGUCUUGGGCAGGAAUGGGCCACUGUAAGAAAGAGCUUUAUCACUAGGGCCUCAGCCAACUUUUCUGUGGGAUAUCCCUCCAAAAUAAUUAAGAGUUCAGAAUGCUUCAGAUUUUGAAGUGAAACUGGUACAUAUAUUAAGUGUUACUUAAUAACCCGAUAGUUUCUAGGGCAGCUCACCAUAAUCCCAAGUAUUAGCCACCACCCUCACCCCCUUCAGAGUAAAAUGUGUUUCCUGAAGGAAGUUGGGAAAAUGAAGAAAAAAAAUACAAAAAUCACCUAUAAUCUUACCAGUCAUAGAUGGCAGUUUUCCUGUCUUAUUUCUGAAUAAUGGUUGUUAAACAUUUGCCAGCACACCAUAAGGCUUAGGGAGGCAUCUGGGUCAUGCAUGUUAAUAUCCUUGGGUAAUUCCAGAAAUCUCUAUGAAGGGAAACUCCUGUUAUUUAUCUAGACUUCCUGAUUGCAAGGGGUUUGGGCAUCAUGAUUUAGGGGUCUUAAUAAAAUUAUUAUUUUAUUUUUACUAAUAGAUAAUGUCUGUGCCUAUCAGAUAAAGGCAAACCAGUGCUCAGAGGAACCCAACCAUCUCUGAAUUGAGACCAGAGAGCUGUCUCUAUGGAUAGUCCUUAGAGAAGGCAUUUCGGAACACAGUAAACAGCAGCCUGGUGACUCCGAUUACAGGGCCAGUUGCCUUUGUUACAAUAAAAGCAAGUCAUCUACACAGGAGUUUCACUCGUUGCCCAGGCUGGAGUGCAACGGCGCGAUCUCAGCUCACUGCAACCUCCGCCUCCCCAGUUCAAGCGAUUCUCCUGCCUCAGCCUCCUGAGUCACUGGAAUUACGGGCGCCUGACACCACGCCCAGCUAAUUUUUUGUAUUUUUAGUAGACAUGGGGUUUCACUAUGUUGGCCAGGCUGGUCUCGAACUCCUGACCUCAUGAUCCUCCUGCCUCAGCCUCCCAAAGCACUGGGAUUACAGGUGUGAGCCACUGUGCCUGGUCCAUUAAAAACAUUUGUAAAGCUAUGGUGUUGAUAAAGUAUUAUGAAAGACUGCAAAAAAAGAUGGCUAAUUUUUAGUUAUUAUUGCACAUGUUUAGAGGAGCUAAUGACAUUUUCUAUGAUUAAUAAAAGACAUUAUUUAUGUUUUUAUUUAUGUAUUCCACAACAUUUAUUUUAUUUUCUCCAUUUCAGGAAAACCACUAUGUUGUUACAAUAAAGAUUUUCAUGUAAUUUGUGUUCAAUUGAUAGUAAUAAUGUAACAAGUUAAAAAUGAAGGUAAUUGUGUUUAAAAUUUGAGCAUAUUUUCAUCAAAAUGUAAGUUAAAGUGAUUGUAAAUUUUAAGAUCAUAAUUACUUUGUAUAUCUUCAAGAAAAUUAUUGUUUUAAAAUAUUUAUGCCUAUUAAAAUUAGAAGGCAAAAUAAAAAUAUAUGAAU